AGAAAUUCUGAAAAACGAUGAUCGAUUGAAGGUCUUCCGGUGAAGCAAUCUUGGCCAUGGGAAAGAAGAAGAUGCACAUGAAUUUUUAAGGUAUGCUAUUGAUACUUUGCAAUCCGCCAGUCUUAAGGAAGCUGGAACAAAAUCUUCCAACUCCUUAGAAGAAGAAACAACUCUAAUCGGACUUACAUUUGGUGGUUAUCUAAGAUCUAAGAUAAAGUGCAUGAAAUGUGGUGGAAAAUCAUAGCGAUAUGAGCGGAUGAUGGAUCUCACUGUUGAAACUGAAGGUGAUAUAGCAACUCUUGAAGAAGCUU